UCGGUUUGUCACUUUAGUUGAUGUAUGUCCAUUGAUUCCCAAUUGGUUCCUGUCUUGAAUAUAAACUGCUAAGUUUUGGUUUUGCAUUUGGAGCCAAGAUUAACUUGUAUCUACAUGGUCAUCCUUAAGCUGCACUUUGGUUUGUCCUCACUAAAUUUCACAAUGAUUUGCCUUUUAGGAAUUGGCUUCUUGUUGCCUCUGGAUUGAAAAAAUAAUCUCCUUUUCUUUUGGAUCCAGUCAAAUAUAGUCUCCUUAUCGCAUAUAAUUUUGAGACUUAAAACCUAUCAUUCUUCUGCUCAGUUCAACAAAAAAUUAAAAAAUGAAUCUAAAGUAGAAGUUGAUUUGGUCAUCUGACAAUCAAAGAUUGAUCCAACAGUUUGUGAAGUUAUUUUUACUGAGUUUGUACCAGGAGUAUCAUGAUGCAUGAAUCCAAAUGUCCCAUGUGAAAACUAUCCACAAAUUAGAAGAGAGUAAGGUUCUACAGAACAUUGUUGCAGGUUUAUUUGGAUCUCAAAUGUGUAAUGUUAAUUUGGAAGUUGUUGUUUCCCACAUAAAAUUUAGGAGAUAUUGACACAUAUUUAUGACCAAUAUGAUAAUGUUUUUACGUUAUGAUUUCCUGCAGUCUAACAAGGAUGAAGAAAUUGAUUUUUCCUGAAGAAAUGCUGUAGAGAACUGUAUAAAUUCUUCACCAAAUUAUCUAGCACUUGAAAGGCCAUAACCUGACAAUGAAAUAUAAAAACUUGUUUUAUAAGCCUUGUGCUUUGUAUUCUUAAGAGUCUCAUAUAGUUUUUUUCCCUAAAUGUUUUUGCUGUUAUGGUUACAGGUGAUGUAUGAGAACAGGGCCAGG
rnacentral:misc_RNA from 1 species